ACUUCCCCAGUCAAAGUUGGGUGUUCCCAGUACAUGUUCUUCAGAUUUUCAGAGUACCCUGAAUUUAAUGAUGUCACUAAAACAGCUUUCAAUUUUGGGUUUUCGGAAAGAGUAACAACAGAGUCUUGCAUAUCUACCUCAGGCAACAGUUUCUCCUUCAGAGUACAGGCUAAAAUUUGAUCCAUCACAUGUUUAAAUGGACCAGGUCUUGAAUCAAAAACUCUUAUUUGAAUGCCAAUGCUCUCAUCUGCCUUUGCCAAGUAAAUUUGAUAAUACCUUGUGAUUAGUCCCCAUACAUGAUCUGAGGGGUGGAAAAGGUACCGCCCCAGGUGAUGGAAAAUGGUUCCUUUUUCAGGAAAUAAUUUGCUUAGCUCUUGCUCAAAAGAAGUGAUCAAGAAAAGAGAAGGGACAAAGUAGUUAUCUGUUUUUGUAAUCAACCAGGGGGCUUUUGCAAGAAGAGAUUGAUCUUCAUCACAGAAGAAGAGCUUAUCAUGAUCAUCAUAAUCAUGAACUAGGUGGAGGUAUAGAUAAGAUGGGACCGAUUCUGCUGAAGCAUUUAAGACACUAUUCUUCAGCAUUUUCCCAUAACAAUGAGAAGAUUUCUGAUCAAAGCUUUCAAAUUGACCAAUGAAAGGGAAAUCCAUGGGCAGAAACCAUGAUUUCUCUGGAAACGGCUCACAGAAGAGGUCAGCCAUGUCCUU
rnacentral:misc_RNA from 1 species